AGGACAGACGGGGACAGGAGGAGAGACAGGGACAGGAGGAGGACAGACGGGCACAGGAGGAGGACAGGAGGAGGACAGACGGGGAGAGGAGGAGGACAGACGGGGACAGGAGGACAGGAGGAGGACAGACGGGGAGAGGAGGAGGACAGGAGGAGGACAGACGGGGACAGGAGGAGGACAGGAGGAGGACAGACGGGCACAGGAGGAGGACAGGAGGAGGACAGACGGGGACAGGAGGAGGACAGACGGAGACAGGAGGAGGAGGAGAGACAGGGACAGGAAGAGGAGAGACAGGGACAGGAAGAGGAGAGACAGGUCAGGGACCUCAGUAUUGUAAACCAGAGAAAGGGUUAUAUUGGUUCAUUAUUUCAUCAUAGAACAAAAGAGCGUGUUAAAGGAAGAGGACAGACAGCAGACUGGUAUCUCAGCAGUACCAGAGGACAGACAGCAGACUGGUAUCUCAGCAGUACCAGAGGACAGACAGCAGACUGGUAUCUCAGCAGUACCAGAGGACAGACAGCAGACUGGUAUCUCAGCAGUACCAGAGGACAGACAGCAGACUGGUAUCUCAGCAGUACCAGAGGACAGACAGCAGACUGGUAUCUCAGCAGUACCAGAGGACAGACAGACAGGAGACUGGUAUCUCAGCAGUACCAGAGGACAGACAGACAGGAGACUGGUAUCUCAGCAGUACCAGAGGACAGACAGACAGGAGACUGGUAUCUCAGCAGUACCAGAGGACAGACAGACAGGAGACUGGUAUCUCAGCAGUACCAGAGGACAGACAGACAGGAGACUGGUAUCUCAGCAGUACCAGAGGACAGACAGACAGGAGACUGGUAUCUCAGCAGUACCAGAGGACAGACAGACAGGAGACUGGUAUCUCAGCAGUACCAGAGGACAGACAGACAGCAGACUGGUAUCUCAGCAGUACCAGAGGACAGACAGCAGACUGGUAUCUCAGCAGUACCAGAGGACAGACAGGAGACUGGUAUCUCAGCAGUACCAGAGGACAGACAGUAG
rnacentral:lncRNA from 8 species